rnacentral:lncRNA from 1 species
GAAUAUUUUUAUCCUUCCAUCCGGCUACCAUCAUUCUCCAUGCCAACACCAUCCUUCUCUACCUAGAAACCAUUGAACCAGCCAUCCAAACUCUCUCCAAGCUAUCCCCUCUUUCUUUCAUCCUCGUACCACAAACAAUGAGCCGGCCACCACCGUUUUUCACACCUCCCUCCAUACCUCACUUAGGCUAGCUAUCCAAACACCCAAAAACCUCCACAAUCCAUCACACGCCACACCCUCUUCCAUCCCUCUAUCUCCACAACCUUCAACUUUUUUCUCCAUAAAAUCCUUUCCUCCAACUUCUGAGUUCUUCUUCAAGCCCGUGAAAAGAAGUCUACAUAAUUCCAAGAUGAAGAUUUUAGUGAGAAACUUCCCAAUAGCCGGCUAGUUGUCACAUUCUCAGAUUUCUGCAAUCUUAUUUGG